AUGUUUGACGGAGUUGAGCGGAUGCUUCGGGGAGUCAGGCAUGUGCCAGGGCUAAAGAGGAAUCUAAUUUUGCUUGGUGUUCUUCAUGGUGGUAUGGUAUUUCGUUGCGAUCGGGAUAAGAAGACCAUGAGAAUCAUGGAAGAUGAGGUGACCGUGAUGAUUGGAGCGAGGACGGCUUCGCAUCUUUACAAGUUGCAAGGGAGCACUAUUGCAGGUGGAGCCACGGAGACUAGAGUUGCAGGAGUAGCAGCGGGGUCUCACAGGGGCGGCGGGUCUGGGGCAGACUCGUCGAGUAUCUCUCAGUAA
rnacentral:rRNA from 1 species